UGCCUCCACUCUCUGUGCUCCCUGCCCUACCCUACUCUCACCCCCUCUCUCAGAAACCCGCGUCGACUGACCAGCCGGAAGGGACAUUCAAUAUGGGAAGAUAUGGUGAGAAAGGCAUUCAUAACCACUACAGUUCCAGGUUUCCAACCAUUGUCUCAGAUCCCAUCUUGUGCUCAACUAGCCAUCAGCUUCAAAGGAACACUUGGAGACAACUCAUGUUUUCAAGACUCAACCACUCUAAUAAUAGGAUGUUGGAAAGGACCAUGGCAGGUAUACGGUGGCAAAGUAUCCCAGGUGAAUUGGCAACUUAUACAAAGACAUAUUAGGAGAAAACAAGAAAAAUUAUGAGAACUACUGGGAAGUCAGCAAGACUGAA